UUAUAAAUAAUAUACCCGCUUUCUAAAUUACUGGGGUUUUUUUAGAAGAUAAAGAAUAAGAAAACAUGGGUGAUGUGAAAAGGGAUGCUGUGGGAUUAAAAAGGUUGCAGUGUGGCAGCUGUCUACAAAAUCUUGGGCAUCAGUGAGUCCUUGACAUUUUGACCUCAUCUUCCAGGACACUUCCUUGAGGGUGAAAGGCAUCUUCAUCCGUGCCGUGGUCCCAGACUCCCCCGCAGCGCGAUGUGAGAAGCUGGUACCAGGAGACAGGAUCCUGGCUGUUAACGGAGUCAGUCUGCUUGGACUGGACUACAACAGUGGAAAGGAGCUGAUCCAGUCAUCAGGUGACAGACUGAGGUUACUGGUGGCCAGAUCUGACUGGAUGGCUAAGGCUAGACAGACUGAAUGCUGACAGCAAUUUUCUUUUUUCAAACCAAGACUGUUAAUGCACCAUAAGCGCACUUAAAGAUGGCCAUAAGAGCUUGUUGAACAUUCAGUUUCAGGACAUAGACCUUAAUAUAAGGUUAAGAAGACAAACAUGCACUAUGAAAUAAACUAUGUCCUGCUUGAAUUGAGUACCAGGUUUAAACUGCUCAGUGUAGUUUUGCAGUUUUUUAAUUUACAUUGUAAUAGCAUGACUGAUGUGUGUAUGUGAUCAUUUCAUUGCAAGCAGUUUAUUUAAACUCUUUCGCCAGUGGAAGAAGAAUACUUAUAUUGACCAUUCCAUAGCCUCUGUACGGUCACUGUCUCUCAGUUACACUUCUGCUUCACUAAUCAAAAUUGAGUCCAGAGAAGAAAGGCUUCCCACAGUAAAGUUGGUCUGAUAGCAGUCUGCUGUUGGAAUUACAUUAUUACAACGCUACCAUUUGUCAUUUGAAUGUAGAAAAAUAACAAGCACCAUCUAAGGUGCAAUAUCAUUGCCAUUCUUUAGUUUAUUGAUUCGACUGGAUAAAAUGAUUGGAUAUACGACGGUUGUUUAACAUUGUAAAAAACACUUUUUUCCCCUUUCGAAUAGGGCUCAGAUUUUAUUACUGUUGCUGUAUUUUUUUUCUUUUUUUUGCAAAUGACCCAUUUUCAUGGUUAGCUCGUGUCUGUUGUGUUUCAGCAAUAAAUACAUUUUAAUUCU